GAUGAACGCUGGCGGCGUGCUUAACACAUGCAAGUCGAACGGGAAACAUUUUAUUGAAGCUUCGGCAGAUUUAGCUUGUUUCUAGUGGCGGACGGGUGAGUAACGCGUGGGUAACCUGCCUUAUACUGGGGGAUAACAGCCAGAAAUGACUGCUAAUACCGCAUAAGCGCACAGAACCGCAUGGUUCGGUGUGAAAAACUCCGGUGGUAUAAGAUGGACCCGCGUUGGAUUAGCUAGUUGGCAGGGCAGCGGCCUACCAAGGCGACGAUCCAUAGCCGGCCUGAGAGGGUGAACGGCCACAUUGGGACUGAGACACGGCCCAGACUCCUACGGGAGGCAGCAGUGGGGAAUAUUGCACAAUGGGGGGAAACCCUGAUGCAGCGACGCCGCGUGAAGG
rnacentral:rRNA from 1 species